rnacentral:rRNA from 1 species
GAUGAACGCUGGCGGCGUGCCUAAUACAUGCAAGUCGAGCGAACGGACGAGAAGCUUGCUUCUCUGAUGUUAGCGGCGGACGGGUGAGUAACACGUGGAUAACCUACCUAUAAGACUGGGAUAACUUCGGGAAACCGGAGCUAAUACCGGAUAAUAUUUUGAACCGCAUGGUUCAAAAGUGAAAGACGGUCUUGCUGUCACUUAUAGAUGGAUCCGCGCUGCAUUAGCUAGUUGGUAAGGUAACGGCUUACCAAGGCAACGAUGCAUAGCCGACCUGAGAGGGUGAUCGCCCACAUGGGAAGGUGACCACGGACCAUGCUCCUGCGGGAGGGAGCAGUAGGGAACCUGACGCAAUGGGCGAAAGCCUGACGGAGCAACGGCGCGUGAGUGAUGAAGGUGUUCGGAUCGGAAAACUCUGUUAUGAGGGAAGAACAGAUGUGUAAGUAACUGUGCACAUCGUGACGGUACCUAAUCAGAAAGCCACGGCUAACUACGUG